GUAAGGAAUAUUAGACAAUGGACGCAAGUCUGAUCCAGCCAUGCCGCGUGAAGGAUUAAGGUCCUCUGGAUUGUAAACUUCUUUUAUAAGGGACGAAAAAAGGCUUUUCUAAGUCGUCUGACGGUACCUUAUGAAUAAGCACCGGCUAACUCCGUGCCAGCAGCCGCGGUAAUACGGAGGGUGCAAGCGUUAUCCGGAUUCACUGGGUUUAAAGGGUGCGUAGGCGGGCAGGUAAGUCAGUGGUGAUAUCCUAGAGCUUAACUCUAGAACUGCCAUUGAUACUAUCUGUCUUGAAUAUUGUGGAGGUAAGCGGAAUAUGUCAUGUAGCGGUGAAAUGCUUAGAUAUGACAUAGAACACCUAUUGCGAAGGCAGCUUACUAAGCAUAUAUUGACGCUGAGGCACGAAAGCGUGGGGAUCAAACAGGAUUAGAAACCCGGGUAGUCC
rnacentral:rRNA from 1 species